GGAAUAUUGCACAAUGGGGGAAACCCUGAUGCAGCAACGCCGCGUGAGUGAAGAAGUAUUUCGGUAUGUAAAGCUCUAUCAGCAGGGAAGAAAAUGACGGUACCUGACUAAGAAGCCCCGGACAACUACGUGCCAGCAGCCGCGGUAAUACGUAGGGGGAAGGCGUUGUCCGGAUUUACUGGGUGUAAAGGGAGCGUAGACGGUGCAGCAAGUCUGAUGUGAAAGGUCGGGGCCCAACCCCGGGACUGCAUUGGAAACUGUUGAACUGGAGUACAGGAGAGGUAAGCGGAAUUCCUAGUGUAGCGGUGAAAUGCGUAGAUAUUAGGAGGAACACCAGUGGCGAAGGCGGCUUACUGGACUGUAACUGACGUUGAGGCUCGAAAGCGUGGGGAGCAAAC
rnacentral:rRNA from 1 species